rnacentral:rRNA from 1 species
GAUGAACGCUGGCGGCGUGCCUAACACAUGCAAGUCGAACGGAGAUUACGGACGGAAGUUUUCGGAUGGAAGCCUGUAAUUCUUAGUGGCGGACGGGUGAGUAACGCGUGGGCAACCUGCCCUAUACAGGGGGAUAGCAGCUGGAAACGGCUGGUAAGACCGCAUAAGUCGGUUAAAUCGCAUGAUUUGAUCGGGAAAUGAGCAAUCAGGUAUAGGAUGGGCCCGCGUCCGAUUAGCCAGUUGGCAGGGUAAAAGCCUACCAAAGCGACGAUCGGUAGCCGGACUGAGAGGUCGGACGGCCACAUUGGGACUGAGACACGGCCCAAACUCCUACGGGAGGCAGCAGUGGGGGAUAUUGCACAAUGGAGGAAACUCUGAUGCAGCGACGCCGCGUGAGUGAAGAAGUAUUUCAGUAUGUAAAGCUCUAUCAGCAGGGAAGAUGAUGACGGUACCUGACGAAGAAGCCCCGGCUAACUACGUG